rnacentral:misc_RNA from 1 species
AACGCACAUUGCGCCCGCCAGUAUUCUGGCGGGCAUGCCUGUUCGAGCGUCAUUUCAACCAUCAAGCGCCUCGCUUGUGUUGGGGCCCUGCGGCUGCCGCAGGCCCCUAAAUCCAGUGGCGGGCUCGUCGUGGUACCGAGUGCAGUAAACAUCCUCGCUCAGGGAACCCGACGGGUGCCGGCCGUGAAACCCCCCCUCCUUAAGGUUGACCUCGGAUCAGGUAGGAAUACCCGCUGAACUUAA